AAGUGUUUGGGGGGGGCCCUCUCAGCGAGGGCCUGUGGAUUGGUUCUCGGGCGACAACAGGUUGAUGGCGCCGAUGCGCACUUCCUAGAUGUGAAAUUGGAAAUAAAGGAUGGGAUUCUCUGCACCUCAGUGUAUGGGAGGCCAAUGUGUGAACCCAUCAUUGUUCCGUCUUGGUCGCCGGACCCGAUCCCGUACAGGCGGGCGGCCUUCCGCUGUUGCUUUGGAGGAGCUGGCCUUUGUAUCAACACGCAGGAGGGGUUGGACAGGGAGUUCCUAUAUAUUUUUAGAAUGGGUCGGCUGUACAGAUAUGCGAGGGUUUUCCU
rnacentral:lncRNA from 1 species